ensembl:rRNA 5S_rRNA 5S ribosomal RNA
AUCUACAGCCAUACCACCCUGAAUGCAGCUGAUCUUGUCUGGUCUUGGAAGCUAAGCAAGGUUGGGCCUGCUUGGUACUUAGGUGGGAGAAAAUAUAAUGUUGUAUGAUC